GGCGAACGGGUGAGUAAUGCAUCGGAACGUGCCCAGUAGUGGGGGAUAGCCCGGCGAAAGCCGGAUUAAUACCGCAUACGACCUACGGGUGAAAGCGGGGGACCAGAUAGCAAUAUUUGGCCUCGCGCUAUCGGAGCGGCCGAUGUCAGAUUAGGUAGUUGGUGGGGUAAAGGCCUACCAAGCCGACGAUCUGUAGCUGGUCUGAGAGGACGACCAGCCACACUGGGACUGAGACACGGCCCAGACUCCUACGGGAGGCAGCAGUGGGGAAUUUUGGACAAUGGGGGAAACCCUGAUCCAGCCAUGCCGCGUGCGGGAAGAAGGCCUUCGGGUUGUAAACCGCUUUUGUCAGGGAAGAAAUCUUUUGCGCUAAUACCGCGGGAGGAUGACGGUACCUGAAGAAUAAGCACCGGCUAACUACGUGCCAGCAGCCGCGGUAAUACGUAGGGUGCAAGCGUUAAUCGGAAUUACUGGGCGUAAAGCGUGCGCAGGCGGUCAUGC
rnacentral:rRNA from 1 species